GGCGGCGUAGCUCAGUUGGUUAGAGCGAGGGUUUCAUAAACCCUAGGUCCGGGGUUCGAGGCCCCGCGCCGCCA
rnacentral:tRNA from 1 species